CGUCAGAUAGCUUAUCAGACUGGUGUUGGCUGUUGGGUCGUCAUGGCAACAGCGGUCUGUAAGCUGUCUGAAG
rnacentral:pre_miRNA from 13 species